rnacentral:rRNA from 1 species
UGCAGAAUCCCGUGAACCAUCGAGUCUUUGAACGCAAGUUGCGCCCCAAGCCUUCUGGCCGAGGGCACGUCUGCCUGGGCGUCACAAAUCGUCGUUCCCCUCACAAAAUUAUGCGAGUGCGGGACGGAAGCUGGUCUCCCGUGUGUUACCGCACGCGGUUGGCCAAAAUCUGAGCUGAGGAUGCUUGGAGCGUCCCGACAUGCGGUGGUGAUCUAAAGCCUCUUCAUAUUGCCGGUCGCUCCUGUCCAUAAGCUCUCGUUGACCCAAUGUCAUCAAAGCGACCCCAGGUCAGGCGGGAUCACCCGCUGAGUUUAAGCAUAUCAAUAAGCGGAGGAAAAGAAACUAACAAGGAUUCCCUUAGUAACGGCGAGCGAACCGGGAAGAGCCCAGCUUGAAAAUCGGACGUCUUCGGCGUUCGA